rnacentral:rRNA from 1 species
GACGAACGCUGGCGGCGUGCUUAACACAUGCAAGUCGAACGGAAAGGCCCUGCUUUUGUGGGGUGCUCGAGUGGCGAACGGGUGAGUAACACGUGAGUAACCUGCCCUUGACUUUGGGAUAACUUCAGGAAACUGGGGCUAAUACCGGAUAGGAGCUCCUGCUGCAUGGUGGGGGUUGGAAAGUUUCGGCGGUUGGGGAUGGACUCGCGGCUUAUCAGCUUGUUGGUGGGGUAGUGGCUUACCAAGGCUUUGACGGGUAGCCGGCCUGAGAGGGUGACCGGCCACAUUGGGACUGAGAUACGGCCCAGACUCCUACGGGAGGCAGCAGUGGGGAAUAUUGCACAAUGGGCGGAAGCCUGAUGCAGCAACGCCGCGUGCGGGAUGACGGCCUUCGGGUGGUAAACCGCUUUCGCCUGUGACGAAGCGUGAGUGACGGUAAUGGGUAAAGAAGCACCGGCUACUACGUG